rnacentral:lncRNA from 1 species
UGUAGGUAAUAUCGAAUCUCCAAAUGCGAUUGAACUCCAUGUUAUUUGAAAAUGUAUCUUAUAACAUUUAUUUAAGUUCCGACAAUAACGAUAACAAAAAAAUGGGCAUUCAAAUGGUUGAUAGGUGAUACGCGUUUACAGCAGGCAUUAGGAACCUUGGCGAAAAGGUGCUGGUGGGUCGUCGAAUAACGUGACAUUGUCGAUAGAAAUUCUAAUGUGUGCAGUUAAAUAAAAUGUGUGUCGCUUGGCCAAUAACAAUGUAUUGGUAGUCACUUUUCCAGAAUACGAUGCUUUUAAAAUAUUUAUGUGGGGUAUGAAUGACAGAAAUAGUCAGGGUGCGCAGAGUUCGUUGGCGGAAUGGGUGUAAAAGUGAGCGAUUUACCAAUGCCUGAAACUGAUAAGACAAAACUUGACGAAUAUAUUGAUAAAAUUUACAAUAUAGUGGGAAAAUAUGUUAGCAAAUUUUGGAGGAAAAAUCUCCAGUCGGACUCAAUCACUAUUAUUAUUAUAUUUAAAUUACUCAAUACUAUUUUUUUAAUGUUAUUUUUAA